UACUGCAUUUUUUCUUACACAUGUGUUUUUCUCUUUUUGAAAACUUUGCUUUGGUAGGCUCUAUAUGGGGCCUGCCAGAGAUUAAACUCAACCAAAUUUUAUUUAAUGUCAACCGAUUAUUUAAUAGUCAAAACUUUCAACAACGGAUCUCUUGGUUCUCGCAUCGAUGAAGAACGCAGCGAAAUGCGAUAAGUAAUAUGAAUUGCAGAUAUUCGUGAAUCAUCGAAUCUUUGAACGCACAUUGCGCCCUUUGGUAUUCCAAAGGGCAUGCCUGUUUGAGCGUCAUUUCUCCCUCAAACCCUCGGGUUUGGUGUUGAGCGAUACGCUGGGUUUGCUUGAAAGAAAGGCGGAGUAUAAACUAAUGGAUAGGUUUUUUCCACUCAUUGGUACAAACUCCAAAACUUCUUCCAAAUUCGACCUCAAAUCAGGUAGGACUACCCGCUGAACUUAAGCAUAUCAAUAAGCGGAGG
rnacentral:rRNA from 1 species